UCCUCCCGCCUUGGCCGUCCAAAAUUCUGGGAUUACAGGCCCUAUCAGACAUGGUCACUCUCUAAGAAGGUCUGAGCAUAGCUGAAGUGGAUCAUCUCAUUCAACUUUGGGUGACUGGUGAAUGCUGUCUGUCUGCCACUGCAUUCUUGAGCCUUCUGUCCCUGUGGUGGGGGUGGCUGUGGGGGUAGAGGCUGGCUCAGGCAUAGGGUAAGGGUACCCCGAGUGUCUGCCCAGAGACGUGGUGGUCUUCUGGUGGGCAUGCGGUGGUUUUUCCCUCCCUAGUCGUCCAAGGUUGGCUGGCAGAGAGGCUGGGGGUGCUAGGAGGGCCCCUGGGUAGGGACUGGGUCCAGGCUGCAGUGAGUCAGCCAUGGGGAGAGGCCUCGGGGAGGCUAGGUCUUAGGGGUGUGCAGCAUCCUUGGUCCAGGGAGGCAGCUGGCUCUGCCAUCAUGAGCCCCAACCCUCGGAGUUUAACUGACACAAUCAGCGAAGCCCUGGAGUGCCUGCCCCUGCCUCUGCGGAGGGAGUGACAGCCAGUGCCCACCCGUGCCCAGCCGCAGGCCCUCCCUCAUCAGGUCCCUUCCCAGAAUCCAGGCCCUGUUCAGAACCCCAGCACCCCUGCCUGCCCGCACCUCUGUGUACCCCUCCCACAUGAUGGGGUGAUAGGGCAUGGUGCCGUGCUGGAGGGGCUAGGAGGCCUCGAUGAUGGUGACGUCCAGGCAGAGACCCGAAUCGGGUGAGUCAGGUGUUGGGUGAACCUUGAGGCCAAAGACCCAGCACUGGAACCUGCUGGGCAUGCUGAGGACUAGAAGGAGGAUGGCGGGAGCGGUGGUGGCAGGAGGCGGCGAUGGAAGGGCUGGGGAGGCAGCGUAGGGCUGUGAAGACACGCCUCUGUGUUCCUGUGAGGGUGGUGGGACCAUUCCUACCCCCUCACGAGUCCUUCUCGGAACCAGACUCAGCCCCGCCACCAUCCUUCUAGGAUGGAAACCUCUGGUUCUCUGGAAGGUCCUUUGGGUCCUGUUGGUCACGGGAAUAGGUAACAGCAAACAAAACAUUUGCCCUCCUCCCCGCUCCCCAGUUCUGACAGAUGUCCACAUGGGCCAUGCGCACCAGAACCGGCCACACGCUGCACGCCCCUCCAGGCUUCCACUGGGCUGACCUGAGGCUCGUGCAUGGCCUUGCACCCCUGCCAGCCCCCAGCUCCAUCACUGUCAUAGUUGGGGUCUGUGCCUCUAGGCUGCUCCUGUGUGGCUGUCCAGCCCUGGAUCCUGGGGACACACGGCCAUCAGCUCACGGCCCUGGAGCCCAACCUUCAUCCUGUUGCCGCCGAGGCCGGCUUCUCACGCUGGGUGGGGGGCGGGCUGCCAGCUGUUUGCUGGGUUAGGACUGAACCCGCAGCGUGGCCUUCCCAGGCCAGCCUUAGUGGCCAGACUGUGUCUUUUCCAGUUUGGCUUUAGCCCUUAAAGACACUGAAGAGGUUUAAUUAUUUGCCUGCUAUUGUUGAAGGGAGUCUUUGUACUCUUUUGUUUUCUGUUUUUUGUUUGUUUGUUUGUCUGUUUUUUGCCCUGCCGGGAGCCCCUGUGCCUGAGUUACUUUUCUGCAGAUACUAUCCUGGCUUUUCUUGAGUGAAUACCCGUUUGGCUUUUUCCUGCCAUAUGUCAAGCCUCUGGAACAUCGUCAAUAUUUUUCCUCUCAUAAUGCAUAAAAAUAAAGUACAGGCUCUCACUGGA
rnacentral:lncRNA from 1 species